rnacentral:rRNA from 1 species
AGAGUUUGAUCCUGGCUCAGAUUGAACGCUGGCGGCAGGCCUAACACAUGCAAGUCGAGCGGUAGAGAGAAGCUUGCUUCUCUUGAGAGCGGCGGACGGGUGAGUAAUGCCUAGGAAUCUGCCUGGUAGUGGGGGAUAACGUUCGGAAACGGACGCUAAUACCGCAUACGUCCUACGGGAGAAAGCAGGGGACCUUCGGGCCUUGCGCUAUCAGAUGAGCCUAGGUCGGAUUAGCUAGUUGGUGGGGUAAUGGCUCACCAAGGCGACGAUCCGUAACUGGUCUGAGAGGAUGAUCAGUCACACUGGAACUGAGACACGGUCCAGACUCCUACGGGAGGCAGCAGUGGGGAAUAUUGGACAAUGGGCGAAAGCCUGAUCCAGCCAUGCCGCGUGUGUGAAGAAGGUCUUCGGAUUGUAAAGCACUUUAAGUUGGGAGGAAGGGCAGUAAAUUAAUACUUUGCUGUUUUGACGUUACCGACAGAAUAAGCACCGGCUAACUCUGUGCCAGCAGCCGCGGUAAUACAGAGGGUGCAAGCGUUAAUCGGAAUUACUGGGCGUAAAGCGCGCGUAGGUGGUUAGUUAAGUUGGAUGUGAAAUCCCCGGGCUCAACCUGGGAACUGCAUUCAAAACUGACUGACUAGAGUAUGGUA